rnacentral:rRNA from 1 species
CGUAGGUGGCAAGCGCUGUCCGGAAUUAUUGGGCGUAAAGCGCGCGCAGGCGGUUCCUUAAGUCUGAUGUGAAAGCCCCCGGCUCAACCGGGGAAGGUCAUUGGAAACUGGGGAACUUGAGUGCAGAAGAGAAGAGCGGAAUUCCACGUGUAGCGGUGAAAUGCGUAGAGAUGUGGAGGAACACCAGUGGCGAAGGCGGCUCUUUGGUCUGUAACUGACGCUGAGGCGCGAAAGCGUGGGGAGCAAACAGGAUUAGAUACCCUGGUAGUCCACGCCGUAAACGAUGAGUGCUAAGUGUUAGAGGGUUUCCGCCCUUUAGUGCUGCAGCUAACGCAUUAAGCACUCCGCCUGGGGAGUACGGCCGCAAGGCUG